CAAUAUUGAACCGUGGGUGUUGUAUGAAAACCUUCCUCGCCUCCUGGCCAUAGAGGUGGUUUUAGAGGUAAUCAUCAGCGAACUGCUUUGGAAAGGCCUGAAAACAAGGAUGUGCGUAAAUAUCUUCUCUAUAUUGGAAAUGGGGCAAA